GACAGAGGGUGCGAACGUUGCUCGGAAUUACUGGGCGUAAAGCGCGUGUAGGCGGGCCGAUAAGUCAGAUGUGAAAUCCCUGAGCUCAACCCAGGAACUGCAUUUGAAACUAUCGGUCUAGAGUGAUGGAGAGGGAAGCGGAAUUCUCGGUGUAGAGGUGAAAUUCGUAGAUAUCGAGAGGAACACCGGUGGCGAAGGCGGCUUCCUGGACAUCAACUGACGCUGAGACGCGAAAGCGUGGGGAGCAAACAGG
rnacentral:rRNA from 1 species